CAGGGAGGGAACCAAGAAAGCUGGAAAAGUCAUUGUCCAUGCUGUGGAUGAAAAGGUAAAGAGAGUCACCACAAAGGGAGGAGAAUACAGCAGGUGCCCAUGAGUACCAGAGGCCCUAGAAGAAGAUACAGAGAUAGAAGAUGCCUGCCAUUGUACCUGACCACACCCUAAUCCCUUUUGUUCUGUCUCUUAUGAGGCUGGACUGCACGUCCUAUCCUUGGAUUCUGUGAAAUAUUCUUUUAUCUAUGCAGCACAUAGCUUUUUUGUUUAAGUGCAUUUGAUUCCUAAGUAAGACUGUCACAUGUGGGAGAGGGUAGCUAAGGAGAGAGCAACACACCCUUCCCAGAUAACAGCCUGCGGAUAACCUCAGAGGGAACCAGGUGGGAAACAGAGGUGUCCCCUGCAGUGGUGAUCUCAUCAGGGUCCCUGAAAGAGACCACAAGGUGAGAUGGCCAGAGCAGCAGAAUCUUACAGACCUAUUCCUGAUCCUUCAAUAGACAGCCCCUCCCACCCAGUCACAUUGAAGCAGUAACUUCUGGCAAUCAAAGGAAUGAGUAUUGAGUUUUUGUUUUAGUAUUAAUGAACAUGGCUGAAAUUUGUAGUCCUAGGCCAGUGAAUGCAAACAUUUUGGUUACUAGGUAAAAUGAUUGCUUUACAACAGGCCUACAGUUAAUGAAAUUAUUUCUCACCCACUUUCCAAGAUUCUCUGUAUUUUAUAAGAUACCAUGCUCCAGAGUCACUUUGUCUGUGAAUCCACUCUAAUUUCUGGAGCAAUCACUCCUGAGCGCAUAAAGAGUGAUGCAAGUCCCUCUUGCUUAGGAGAAUAAAUAACGUUUUAGGAAUUUUGCUGUUACGUGGCUUACAUUCUUUCAUUGACUUCCAUUAAAAUUUACCAGAUCAGGGGGUUCUAAAACUGAUUAUAAGUAUCUUUAGAUCAUGUGGUAAGAUAACAAUAAAACUUCUUUCUAAAAAGCAAAGUUUGUAUAAGUCACACAUUGGAAAGAAAACAAGAGCUCUCUUAGAAAAUAUAAUUAUCCACAGUACUCCAAACUAUAAUGUUGUGCUGUUCUCAAAAUAAUUCCCCAAGUAAAUAUACUAAACAUGUACCUGAUGCUGGAGGGUGUGUGUUGAGGGUGAUAAGAGAAGGGAAGCAAUAUUCCUCUGUUUUGGGUGACUUUAAAACCUUUGUCUUCUUCUUAAGCUGGUACAAACCAUUUAGUAUGCUCUUUCUUCCCUUUCCUCUGGAUAGGGAUGUAGACAAGACCGGGGAAAAGCAAUGUGCAGUAACCAGAGCUCUUCUGACUGCAGCAUUUGAACUUACUGCUCUCUUGCCGGACUCCUCUGCUCAGUAAUAUCCAUCCAAAUUGUUAAGUUGUCUUUCGACUGGCAUCUAAAGUUAAGAUCCAAAGUCUGUGACAAAUGAAUUGAGUUUUAAUUUUAAAACCCUAAUCAAGUUUCUUUGACUUUCCUAAGUAGCAGAUGAUUCUAACCAAAGGCUACAUAGAAAAGAAGAGGAAACAAAGGCAACAAUUUGGGAUUCUCUUGCUGACUUUAUCCUUCUUGACCUGGAGAAAAGAAAAGAGAUAGAAAGGAAGAAGAAAGAUGGACGAUUCAUUUGCUCUCUCUCCUUUGGCUCACUUAGCAUUGAUGAAGGAAAGGAGUGUUCCGUGGGUGGUCCAAGAAUUCUGAACAGCCCUGGGCUGUAGGGCAGACAAAGGAUAGUAGUGUUUCUCCUUCUGAAACUCUCAGGCAGAAGUGUCUGGUGAAGCUUCCCCAUUUUGAUUUGGCUUGUUUGGAUCUGAUGUGGACUCAAUAGAGUAGCUAUGAAGAACAGAAUCUUGGACUGCUGUAGGUUCCAGAUUCACCUACGGUUGUGGGGGCAUCUUAACCUCUCCAAUCUGUCUGUGGGACUCUGUCUUUGUGCUUUGGGUCCGUAACUUAAGAGAUGGUCCUUACAUAAUAUCGCAGAUAAUUUUGAGUUUCAUCUCAACUUCAAACAUAUGCUUUACACUUUUAAUUAAUACCCUAUAACAACAAUUAUUUGUUUAGCUGAACCACCAUUUCUCUUUCCUACCUCCCAUUACAGAGGCUGUAAAAGCAAGCUACUUGUUUUCCAGCCUUUCAGUUCAGCUAAAAGACUUAAGGAGAAGUCUCCUGAGAGGCUCUAGGAGAGUUUUUCCCUCACUGAUACAUGAAAGGGAAAAUAUUAAGACAAGGCCUCUUUGAGGCAACAGACAUUAGGAUGAAAAGUCUAAAUAUCAAGUAUGGCAGAGCGAAGAUUGAAAAGAGCUGCAAUCCUUGAAGACUGACCACCUGAAUUAAAGUUACCUACUGCCAAUCUCCAACCUUUUUGUUAUGUGAGGAAAAUAAAUCCCUAUUUGUUUAUACUUACCCACAUAUUUACCAUUUACAGUAUUCUUCAUUCCUUUGUGUAGAUAUCAUUUUCCUUCUGUCCAAAAGACUUCCUUUAAUGUUUUUUGUAUGCACGUCUACUAGUGACAAAGUUUUUCGGCUUUCUAUGUCUGAAAAAGUCUUCAUUUUCCUUUCGUUUUUGAAAGGUGUUUUCACUGGGCAUAGAAUUCUAGGUUGACGGUAUUUUUCUUUCAGAACUUUAAAGAUAUCACUCUACCAAUUUCAUUCACUCUACCAACUUUCAUUGUGUCCAAUGAGGAGUCUGAUGUUAUUCUUAUCUUUGUUCCUCCAUAUGUAAAGCUUUAUUUUUCUUUGGCAGCUCUUAAGGUUUUCUUCUUGUUACUGGUUUUAAGGAAUUUGAUUAUCAUGUGCUUUGGUAUAGUUUUCAUUAUGUUACUUGUACUUGGGGUUUGUUGAGCUUCUUGGAUCUGUGCCUUUCUGGUUUUCACCAACUUUAGAGAAAUCUUGGCUUUUAUUUCUGCAGUUUUUUCUGCCCCCUACCCCUCCAUUCUCUCUUUCCUUCAGGGCUUCUAAAUACACAGGUAUUAGGCGGCUGGAAGUGGUCCCAAACCUAUUUCUUUACGUGUUCAUUUCCUCCCCAAAGCCCCAGUACGUAGUUGUAUAUUCUAGUUGUAAGUCCUUCUAGUUCUUCUGUGUGAGCCACUGCCAUGGCAUGGCUACUGACAGACGAUUGGUGUGGUUCUGAACCUGUGGAGCUGAACCCAGGACACUGAAGUGGAGCAUGCUGAACCUUAACCACUAGGCCCUCAGAGCUGCCUCUGUUUAUUUUGUUUUUAAGCUUAUUUCUCUCUGUGUGUCAUUUUCGAUAGUUUUCAGGUUCACUUCAAGUUCUUCAGUGUCUAAUCUGCUGUUAAUCCCAUCCAGUGUAUUUUUCAUCUCAGACAUUAUGCUUUUCAUUUCUAGAUAUUCUAUUUGGGUCUCCUUUUUAAUCUUCUGUGUUUCUAUUUAACAUGAUUAUGUUUUUCUCUACUUUCUUAAGCUUGUGGAAUAUAGUUAUAAUAAUCACUUUAAUAAUCAUAUUUACUAAUUCUAUCAUCUAUAUAAUUUCUUGUUGGCUUUCAAUGAAUUGAUUAUUUUCCUCAUUAUGGGCUAUAUUUUCCCUGCUUCUUUGCAUGGCUGGCAAUUUUUGAAUUAAAUGCCAGACAUUGUAAAUUUUUUCUUGUUCGCUGCUGGAUAUUCUUGUUUAAAAUUUUUUUUCUGGGGGCUGGCCCAGUGG
ensembl:lncRNA